rnacentral:snRNA from 1 species
AAAAAGGGCCUCCAUCAUAGGUACAUGAUGACCAGUUCAUCACUAAAAUGACUGGGUGGAAUGGCAAUCAAGACAUUUCAGAGGCAUAAUAUUUGAGCACGGGACAGUCGGCUACAAAUAUUGGCUGAC